AUGAGAGCCUCCCUCAUAAUUUGGGAUGAGGCCUCCAUGACAAGGAGACAGACAGUCAAGGCCCUUGAUAAUAGCAUGAGGGACAUCAUGGCUCAACCUGACCUGCCAUUUGGCGGAAAGACUGUCGUGUUUGGGGGAGAUUUCAGACAAGUGCUUCCUGUUGUUCGCAAGGGAACAAGGUCACAAAUAAUUGACGCGACGCUACGCAAGUCUUACCUUUGGGAGAGUAUGAGACAUAUAAGACUUGUCCAUAAAACAAGGGCUCAAAGUGAUCCAUGGUUUGCUGAUUAUCUUCUGCGUGUUGGGAAUGGCACCGAAGAUACUAUGGAUGAUGGUUACAUACGACUCCUAGAUGAGAUUUGUGUACCAUAUACCGGCGUUGCCUCUGAUAUUGACAAGCUUAUUGAAAGUGUUUUCCCGAUGCCGCUAGAUGAAAACUUCUUGGAUCCAAACUACAUAACAUCCUGA
rnacentral:rRNA from 1 species